UACGGAGGGUGCAAGCGUUAUCCGGAUUCACUGGGUUUAAAGGGUGCGUAGGUGGGUUGGUAAGUCAGUGGUGAAAUCUCCGGGCUUAACCUGGAAACUGCCAUUGAUACUAUCAAUCUUGAAUACCUUGGAGGUGAGCGGAAUAUGUCAUGUAGCGGUGAAAUGCUUAGAUAUGACAUAGAACACCAAUUGCGAAGGCAGCUCACUACACGGUCAUUGACACUGAGGCACGAAAGCGUGGGGAGCGAACAGG
rnacentral:rRNA from 1 species